rnacentral:lncRNA from 1 species
GGGAUUGUCACGUGUGCUCCAGGUGUGUCACAACAGCCACAGCUGGGCCCUGCUGAGGGGAAAAUGAGCUAGAAUUGUGCUGGUUCCUAAAGAUCCAUCUAGAAACAUAACUCCAUCCUUCUGGAUUAUUGUCUCACAUUUAUCCACUGGAAUUCAGACCUAUUGGGAUCCUGUGUGGGAAAAGACAUCCAGGAGAAUGUUUGGAUGUUAUUUAGCACAGGGAGGCCGCAUUUCUGAACUCGUAGGGGCUGAUCCGAGUGCUCAGAGUGUCAAAUUCCCUCAGGUUUCCAAGUAAAAGUGUGGAUGCACUGCCUCCACCUGAGGAGCUUUGCAGUGCUGCUUUCACGGCUUGGAUGAAGCAGGACGAGCACGGGAGCUGGAAGGACUUGAAGCCGCAGAGAGGACGUGGAAUUCUGUUGGCUGCUUGCAAGGAAAGGAAGGAAAACAUUCUCCACUCAGUUCCUCAUACCUUCUGAAAAGGAUGAUGAAUGGGCUGGUUCUGCCUAAGGGAGUGUGUUCAAGCACAAGGCUGUUAAACCCUUUCCAGCUGGCAGAGAAAUCACAUGCAGGUGGCUCCGUGUCAAAGCUCAGCUGUUAUCGCUGGCUGAUUGUGCCUGCACAAGGAUCCUUCCGUGCUGAAACCACACAAAUGGGGAAGAAAAAGAGAUGGAAGAGGCUGACAAUGUGCUACGAGGAGGUCAAAGCUGGGAAUCCACAGAUGGAGGGUGCAAAACACAGCCAAAACCCCAAAAAGUUUCUGGUUCACAAUGGAUUGUGAAUAGAAGGAAUAAGCAAUAAUGGGCAUCCUUAAAAACCCUCCAUUGCAGUCUCCUGGUCUUUUAAGGGAUGUGGGAAUGAUUUAUGUCCAUAUUUACUGACAGCUGGGAGGAGAUUCAGCUUUAUUUCCUUUAUUUAUAUUUAAGGAAAAGCAGUAGCCAAGGUAAGACAAGAACAAUUGCUGACCAAGCUUUCCUCCACACACAAUCCUCAAACAAAACACAAUCCUCACACAGAGCUACAAUAAUUGAUGCACUUGUGUGUUUUACAAGCAGUGAGAAUCCCUGAAAUGAAAUGAGCAGCUGUGAAUGAAUUUGUGUGGGAACCUGACACUCUAAUGGGUUUCCAUCCAGCUCUGAGGUGAAGGAGAGGUUGAAAAGCAAAUCUCUGCAAGUGUCACCUCACUGGGCUGGGAUGGGGAAAGCAGCACUUCAGUCCCAGCUCACAAAGGCUUCCCUCUCUGCACUGCUUCAUUUCCUUGGUGUCCAUUCCCAGAAAAAUGAGGUUCACAUCAUUUCUAUAGAAUUUAAAAGUUUAAUAAAAAGACAAUUAGGAGAAAAAAUAAAGUAUAC